UUUGGCCGGUUUAUUGAUAAUAUUAUGAGUAGAUAAAUCUAUAUAAACCACCACAGACGUGUAUCCACAUCAUUUGAGUUAUAAGUCAAAGUGUGUAAACAUGAAAGUGUAUUUGUUGCUCUGUUUGAUGCUUGUUGCAAAUGCAUCGACGGUUUUCGCUGGUCCGAUUAGAGCAGGUGUAUGCCCACCUGGGUAUAUACGAGUUGGUAAUCAUUGCUUUCCGGAUGAUGAUGCCGAUGAUAUAUAAUGUUCAAGAUGUUAAAUAGUUCUGCAAGCAAGAUUUUUUUAUUAAAAUACUUGUAAUACCCA